ACGACCUUACUUGAACAGGAUCUUUCCUAUAGGUUCGUACCGUUGCAUCCUUGACUGAUAAGGAAGCAAGCACUCAAGCUUGGUUGAUGACGUCUGACCUGUGGGCCAGAGCGUGAUUAACGGCAGGAAUCAUCGGUUGCUUUGUUCCGUGGCUGUAGAUGAUCGUUCAUGUUCAGUUCGUUCUGAGCUUGGUGGCUCACAGGUUGUCUGACAAGUG